CCGGAAAGCUAGACGUACUUCUUAUACAGGUUGAGGUAUGUAUCUAGUGUAGGCAGUGGACUUCCACUGACCUAACGUUUUGAUAAUGUGUAUGGGAAUAUUCCUCUUGGAUACCGUGGUAGCAGCUCCUAUAUGGAUUGAAUGACCUGAGUAUUUGCUGGGUUAACGCCUAACUGUACCAAAAACAUUCUAACAUAAAGCAUAAACCUAGUAGUAGUUAGUGUAUUCCCGUAGAAUGCUAAAUAGAUGGCAGUUUUAAUGACGUGAUUUGUCAGUGUUUCAAAUGAUG